GUGGAGAGGUUGUAGCUGUGGAGGUUGUAUCUGUGGAGAGGUUGUAUCUGUGGAGAGGUUGUAUCUGUGGAGAGGUUGUAUCUGUGGAGAGGUUGUAUCUGUGGAGGUUGUAGCUGUGGAGAGGUUGUAGCUGUGGAGAGGUUGUAUCUGUGGAGAGGUUGUAGCUGUGGAGAGGUUGUAGCUGUGGAGAGGUUGUAGCUGUGGAGGUUGUAGCUGUGGAGAAGUUGUAUCUGUGGAGAGGUUGUAUCUGUGGAGAGGUUGUAGCUGUGGAGAGACUAGCUGUGGA
ensembl:lncRNA